UCCGUAGGUGAACCUGCGGAAGGAUCAUUAAUGAGUUGUGAUGGGGUUUGAUGCUGGCAGCCAAUUUUUUGGAUGCAUGUGCUUGCCCUAACAAUCAUUUUCCAAACACCCGUGCACACUUUUGAGGGGAGUUCUGAGCUUAUUGUCACUUUGGUAGUUUGCUCGCAUUCCCUUUGAAUCAUUAUACGCUGUUAAUAAUGAUGAACGUGUUUGUGCCGCAAGGCCAUUAAUAUAAUACAACUUUUAACAACGGAUCUCUUGGCUCUCGCAUCGAUGAAGAACGCAGCGAAAUGCGAUAAGUAAUGUGAAUUGCAGAAUUCAGUGAAUCAUCGAGUCUUUGAACGCACCUUGCGCUCCCUGGUAUUCCGGGGAGCACGCCUGUUCGAGUGUCACGAAAUUUGUCAAGCUUGGGAUGGCCUUUUUUGUCUGUCCAUUAGUCUUGGUUGUUGGGCUUUGCCGUGUCCUUUAUUGGGACGGCUGGCCUUAAAAGCAUUAGCUGAUCCUUGCGUGGCACUGGUUCGACUCAGCGUGAUAAUAUAUCUGAUCGCUGAGGACAUCUUUCAGGAUGGCCAGUCCUCAUUUGGGUUGCUUCUAAACUUGGUUUUGCAGAUUCUUGAAUCUGUGUUCCACUUUUCAGCUUUGACCUCGAAUCAGGUGGGACUACCCGCUGAACUUAAGCAUAUCAAUAAGCGGAGGA
rnacentral:rRNA from 1 species